CACCCAUUUCGUCGACCUCUAGCCAAUUUUCGGAGCAGUAGGAGUAAGCAGCAAAGAAGGAAUCCAAAUCCGGGCGGCGCCGGAAGGACCUGCCUUCAUCUGCUCCUCUCCUCAAACGCUACAUCAGAAGCCGGUCGCACGCGACAAAAAUUUCCAUAAUUCUCAAUAAGGGCG
ensembl:ncRNA ZC506.9 ncRNA